GCGAACGGGUGAGUAACACGUGAGCAACCUGCCCCUGACUCUGGGAUAAGCGGUGGAAACGCCGUCUAAUACCGGAUACGACCCGCCACCUCAUGGUGGAGGGUGGAAAGUUUUUCGGUCAGGGAUGGGCUCGCGGCCUAUCAGCUUGUUGGUGGGGUAACGGCCUACCAAGGCGAUUACGGGUAGCCGGCCUGAGAGGGCGACCGGCCACACUGGGACUGAGACACGGCCCAGACUCCUGCGGGAGGCAGCAGUGGGGAAUAUUGCGCAAUGGGCGAAAGCCUGACGCAGCGACGCCGCGUGGGGGAUGACGGCCUUCGGGUUGUAAACCUCUUUUACCACCAACGCAGGCUUCCAGUUCUCUGGAGGUUGACGGUAGGUGGGGAAUAAGGACCGGCUAACUACGUGCCAGCAGCCGCGGUAAUACGUAGGGUCCGAGCGUUGUCCGGAAUUAUUGGGCGUAAAGAGCUCGUAGGCGGCGUGUCGCGUCUGCUGUGAAAGACCGGGGCUUAACUCCGGUUCUGCAGUGGAUACGGGCAUGCUAGAGGU
rnacentral:rRNA from 1 species